rnacentral:rRNA from 1 species
AUUGAACGCUGGCGGCAUGCUUUACACAUGCAAGUCGAACGGUAACAGGGUGCUUGCACCGCUGACGAGUGGCGAACGGGUGAGUAAUGCGUCGGAACGUGCCGAGUAGUGGGGGAUAACGCAGCGAAAGUUGUGCUAAUACCGCAUACGUACUGAGGUAGAAAGUGGGGGACCUUCGGGCAUCACGCAAUUCGAGCCGCCGACGUCUGAUUAGCUAGUAGGCGAGGUAAAGGAUCACCUAGGCGACGAUCAGUAGCGGGUCUGGGAGGAUGAUCCGCCACGCUGGGACUGAGACACGGCCCAGACUCCUACGGGAGGCAGCAGGGGGGAAUUUUGGACAAUGGGCGAAAGCCUGAUCCAGCCAUGCCGCGUGUCUGAAGAAGGCCUUCGGGUUGUAAAGGACUUUUGUCGGGGAGGAAAUCCCCAGCGUUAAUACCGCUGGGGGAUGACAGUACCUGAAGAAUAAGCACCGGCUAACUACGUGCCAGCAGCCGCCGUAAUAC